UAGGCAGGGGCGAGCCUGACCCAGCACGCCGCGUGGAGGACGAAGGUUUUCGGAUCGUAAACUCCUGUCUAGAGGGACGAAGCAAGUGACGGUACCUCUGGAGGAAGCCCCGGCUAACUCCGUGCCAGCAGCCGCGGUAAUACGGGGGGGGCGAGCGUUGUUCGGAAUUACUGGGCGUAAAGGGCGCGUAGGCGGUAUUGGAAGUCAUGGGUGAAAGUCCUCGGCUCAACCGAGGGAUUGCCUGUGAAACCACGGUACUGGAGUGCUGGAGAGGGAAGUGGAAUUCCCAGUGUAGCGGUGAAAUGCGUAGAUAUUGGGAGGAACAUCUGUGGCGAAGGCGGCUUCCUGGACAGACACUGACGCUGAGGCGCGAAAGCCAGGGGAGCGAACGGGAUUAGAUACCCCGGUAGUCCUGGCUGUAAACGAUGAACACUUGGUGUAGGGGGUGAUGAAAGUCCCUCUGUGCCGUAGAGAACUCGAUAAGUGUUCCGCCUGGGGAGUACGGCCGCAAGGCUGAAACUCAAAGGAAUUGACGGGGGCCCGCACAAGCGGUGGAGCAUGUGGUUUAAUACGACGCAACGUGAAGAACCUUACCGGGACUUGACAUUAUCCUGCCCGCCUAAGAAAUUAGGUUUUCUUUCCUUUUAGGGAAGACGAGAUAACAGGUGGUGCAUGGUUGUCGUCAGCUCGUGUCGUGAGAUGUUGGGUUAAGUCCCACAACGAGCGCAACCCUUGUCCUUAGUUGCCAGUUUGUUUUUCAAACGCACUCUAAGGAGACUGCCGCAGAUAAUGCGAGGAAGGUGGGGAUGACGUCAAAUCAUCAUGCCCCUUACGUCCCGGGCUACACACGUGCUACAAUGCUGUACAGAGGGUUGCGAAAGAGCAUCUCAGCAAUCCCUAAACAGUCAGUCGAUGGAGCUGCACUCGCUCCAUGAGUCGAUCGCUAGUAUCGCGAUCAGCAUGCCGGGUGAUCGUCCGCUUGUACACCGCCGUCAACUAGAAGUUGGAUACUGAGUGCUGCUACCUGAGGGGAGCAGAACUAAGGAUGGUUAUAUAUCGUGA
rnacentral:rRNA from 2 species